GGGCAUAUCUUUUGUUCCAGAUCCAGGAAGAGGGUUCCCCGGGUCUGUCCUGUUGUUCAGCUUGAAUUUCGGUGUCCUAGGAUCUCUCAGUUUUCGAUCGGGAAGGAAGGGUUUCUGAGGUCUGAGCUUUCGCAGCUUCUAAGCCACCAUCUUCCAUUUAAAAGCAUUUCUAACAUCACUGUAGAGAAAUGGCUGGUGUAUUACCAGGCAUCUGCUCACUAAACUUAGUAAAAUGAAAUCUGUUAAUUGUCACAGGCCCUCAGGGACAGAGAUAUCAACCUGAUGUCAUGUUUUACAUGCUUCACUGGGGCACUCUCUGUUGGACCAGACUUUAAGUAGUGCAACACAGAGCACUGCCCUCCAGUGCUUGAAGAUGGCAAUGGUUUAAAUACAGUAAAAGCAAAAAAGGAAAAGCCAGGACUCCUUGGAUCUGCAUAAAAUUUCCAUGAAAAAUGAAAAGGACACAUUCAAGCAAUUUGCCACAUUCAAGACACUUUUUGCUGAUGGCAAUUACCAUAACAAUGGCAGAUAGUUUGUAGGAAA
rnacentral:lncRNA from 1 species